rnacentral:rRNA from 1 species
UAAGCGUGUAGUGAAAUUUCAGGGCUCAACCUUGAAACUGCUACACGAACUGGCAAACUAGAGUAUAUGAGAGGUACCUGGAAUUUCUGGUGUAGGAGUGGAAUCCGUAGAUAUCAGAAGGAACACCAAUGGCGUAGGCAGGGUACUGGCAUAUUACUGACGCUAAGGCACGAAAGCGUGGGGAGCGAACGGGAUUAGAUACCCCGGUAGUCCACGCCGUAAACGAUGGAUGCUA